GGCAGGGAAUUGCUUGAACCCAUAGGCGGAGGUUGCAGUGAGCUGAGAUCACGCCACUGCACUCCAGCCUGGAUAGAGACUCCGUCUAAACUUCAUUGAGGAGGCAGGAAGGGAACAUUUUGCUGAGAAACCCAAAAAAGAGAGGAGGUUUUCUGCUAAAAUUAUGGAACAGAGGUUAAAGAAGACAAAAAACCCUUAAGGACAGAGAAUCAGAGAUUAGACAAUACAUAUUUUUUAAUGGAAACAAUGACCAUUGGACAAGUGGCAAAUUAUAUGAGAAAAUGGAAGAACAAAAAGGAGAAGAAACUUGCUCACAGUUGCAAAUAUACUAAAAGAUGAAAUCCAAAACUCAAGAGUUUUCCAAUAAGCAUUCUGGAACAAGCUGAAUUCUCAGACUGUCCUCAAUGACAAUAUACUCUGCUCUGUCUUCUUAGGACUUUUUCUUUCCAGAGCCUUUAAGUCCUUAGCUAAAUUCUACCACCAAUAACAAAAAUAUGAGGGUUAUAUAUAAGAAGAGUAAAUGAUGCUAAAAAUACAUUUUUGCCAUGGUGCAUACUCUUCUCCAAUAAAAACUUUGACAAUGCAGAACCAAAUACAUAGGUUUUUAUAAAAUAACUAUUUAUUACAUAGAAAACUUUUCUCAGCCCCACUUCACUGCUCUUAUGUUAUUUAUCAAAAUUCAAAAUAACCUGUGACAAUAGCCAUCACUAACAAUGUUUUCACUUAUUCUUUCACCCACAUUCUCUUAUUUGAUCUUUACAGCCCAGAAAUAGAAUAUCAUCAUCCUCAUUUACCAACGAGCAAGCCAAGUCAGGAUAAAUGACUUGUCGAGGUUGGCCAAUAAUAUGGAACCUGAAACAAUGCAUGCCUUAUGCUGAAAACUUCUGCCUUUCUUCACCUAUUCUAAAGAAAGAUAACUGUUAAUUAAACAUCCAUACCUGCCAUAAUCAAGUCACAAGAUGAGAAUCCCUUUUCAGCAUUGUUUCUUUCUGGGCUCAAUAGCUCCAGGCAUGCCAGAAGCAGUCAAUCCUGGAUGCAGGAACUCUCCUAAUACUGAAAUAGGACAAGAAAAUAUUAAAACACAGAACUAUUUCAAACGAUACUGACCAACUUCUUCUGGAAGCUUUCUUCCUGGCUACCUGGGACUUCACCAUACCUGCUCUCCUCUGAGGCAGAAGACCACAGUCAUUAAGAGUGUGGACUUCCUGGGCUGGUAUACCAACUCCACAACACACUAGCUAUGUGACCUAGGAGAAGUUACCCACCCUUUCUCUAAUUCAGUGUUUCCUCUUUAGUAGACACUAGUAACAUAUAAUGUACAGCUAUACCUAAUAUACAGUAAUGUAAGGACUCAAUGGAAUAACCAAUUUCAAGUGCUUAAAACAGUGCCUGGCACAUUGAGACCAUUCCACAUGUAACAGUUAUCUUAUUAAAAUUUAUUAUCUGAUUCAAAA